rnacentral:rRNA from 1 species
UGAGGAAUAUUGGUCAAUGGGCGAGAGCCUGAACCAGCCAAGUCGCGUGAGGGAGUACUGCCCUAUGGGUUGUAAACCUCUUUUGUCGGGGAGCAAAAGCCGGACGUGUCCGUCUGUGAGAGUACCCGAAGAAAAAGCAUCGGCUAACUCCGUGCC